ACCCCUUUCGCAUCCCUUCCCAUCACGCUCUCUCGCUUUCCUUUUUCUCCGGCUGCCGUUCGAUGGUGGCGCACGCGUGAGCACAUGGCAACGGCACGAGCUAUGCCAGGCAAACAUACGCUCUCCUUCGCACGCUUUCUCAUCUUGACCUCGCAAGCCGCCCUUCUUGCAGAGCCGACGCUUUUUUUUUUUCGCCUCUCGGUGCUCGCGCGGGUGAGCCAAGGCGACAGAGCACUGAAAACUGCUGCCGCUGCUGGGGCAUUCGGUUCGCUUCACCCAUUUUCCGAUAAGAAGCUGGGCUAGGACAGUCGAACGGAUCAAGUAGGACCACACAUGGGCGAUGCUCCACUCGUGCACGCAUAGAUAGACAGCUGGGCAGAGGUCAUUGACCAUGUCUACUGCUCCCUGGUCUAAUGGCGACCUCGGCCUCGUUGGUGGUGCGCACGUUGCAGAAUAUCGAGAGCAUCAGGCAGCGCGGCGUCGAUGGCCGCAGGGCGAAUUGCUGCGUGUCGGACAACGCGAUACCGUCCACCGAGGCCGCUGCGGUACGACUUUGAACGCUCCUCUUUGUCCCACUCACUGACGGAAUCGUGAUAGAGAAACGGGUUCGGUCAUUCGACAACGCGCAUGCUUUCAGAGGACGAGGCCGCUGUCACCUCUCUCUUUCUUUCGCCCUUAUGGGCUUUGAGACGCAUGUAACGACGUUUUUGAUGCGCAAACUCUUUCUUGUUUUUCUCUUCGUGUUUGACCGUGCGCGGUGUGUGUGGGUGCGCGUUGAAAACGUCUUUGCCGGUGUUGUUGUUGGCGUCGCUUGUGCGCGCGCGUGCACUAAUGUGGUGGUGGUGGUGGGACGGGAGGGGGAGGGGCCAGUAACAUGACAAGGCGGAAGGAAACAAACAAAAAAAAAAGAAUGCGAAGAAAGCCACAAAGGGGCCUCAGCAGCACUUUUGGCGGUCUCUUGAUCGAUCCCUUCGCCCUUCUCGACUGGCCCUCUCGCGUUCGCCUUAUUUGUCUGCCCUCAUUGACCGCUUCGCAUGCGGACGCACCGAUGCAUGCUCACCAGCUCGCGAGUGGUGCGCAUCAACCCUGUGGAACAUUCUAUGAGUCGUUCUGCUGCUGCCGCUGCUGCGACCUCGUCGACGCCACAUUUUCGUUUUUGGCCGAGGUGUCCCGUAUGUUCGCUGGAGAGGGUUCGUUGAUCUUUCGUCCUUUGUGGCGCAUGUGUGUUAGCCUUUUCAGUUUGGUGUUUGUUUGCUCGACCGAGUUGUUGAUGAUGCUGCUUGGUCGAUCUCUCUCGAUGCGGGCGUAUUCGUUGACGUGGCGUGCUGCGAUUGCUUGUGGUCCUCGGCUGCGCAUCAUGAGUAGACUCCUUAUCCGCGUUUUUGCCCACCUUCGGCGCUUUGCCGUUGCUGAGGGUGCGUGUGCGUGUGUGUGCAUGCGCGAGGAUGGGGCCACGCCUCCUCGCUCCUCCACUUCGUCUAUAGCAGUUCUGGGAUGCACGUUAGCCGGUGCCGCUGUGCCGCGUUGUUGCAUGACUAGCUCGUUGUCCAGCCACCGAUAGGCUCAGUGACCCUUUUGUGCGGUGGUGCACGUCUCUGUCGCCUCCGCUCCCGCAUCGUCCCCUUCUCUUUUUGCUGCCGAUGCGGAGCCCCCUCGUCUUGUCCUCGCCUACGCUCUGUAUCCUUCUGUGCUCUUCUCACGGUUGGCCACGCGCUAACGCAUUGCUGUCGUCAUGCCCCCCUCCCCCCCGUCAUGGGCGUCUAUGGGCAUCGUGCGCUGCGCUCUUACGGAUGGGUCUUGGAUGGCGAUGGCACGCACGGCACACCCUCCCUCAUCAUCACGGCAG
rnacentral:misc_RNA from 1 species